UAAGGAAUAUUGGUCAAUGGGCGCAAGCCUGAACCAGCCAUGCCGCGUGCAGGAGGACUGCCCUAUGGGUUGUAAACUGCUUUUAUACGGGAAUAACCGCCGGUACGUGUACCGGUUGAAUGUACCGUAAGAAUAAGGAUCGGCUAACUCCGUGCCAGCAGCCGCGGUAAUACGGAGGAUCCGAGCGUUAUCCGGAUUUAUUGGGUUUAAAGGGUGCGUAGGCGGCAUGCUAAGUCAGGGGUGAAAGACGGUGGCUCAACCAUCGCAGUGCCUUUGAUACUGGCGUGCUUGAAUGUACAUGAGGUAGGCGGAAUGUGGCAAGUAGCGGUGAAAUGCAUAGAUAUGCCACAGAACACCGAUUGCGAAGGCAGCUUACCAAGGUAUUAUUGACGCUGAUGCACGAAAGCGUGGGGAUCGAACAGGAUUAGAUUACCC
rnacentral:rRNA from 1 species